GGGGAUAUGGCGAAAUUGGUAGACGCUACGGACUUGAAAAAUCCGUCGACUUUGUAAAUCGUGAGGGUUCAAGUCCCUCUAUCCCCA
rnacentral:tRNA from 1 species